rnacentral:lncRNA from 1 species
CAACAGAGUUGUCUGAGGAAGUGUGGUCAUAGCUGCCAUCCAGAGCCGCAGACUCCUACCCUUCGAGAGGAAAAGGCGAAGAUACCUUCCAGUAACCUAGAACCUUCUCAACACACUGCACUUGAAUUCGUACAUCAUCUGAGUCCUCGAAACUUGAUGGAAAUUCAUACUUUUUGAGAAUAUUAUUUGCCUUUUGAGAAAAUUCAGUCAGCAAUAAGGAAUACUGCAGCCUCCUGUGUGCUCCUCUGCAGGAAACACUUCGAUACACCCUGAGAUGGAGGAAAGCACAUUUUCUGCCAGGUGUAAUUUACAGCCACAUGCUUUACUACAAACAACCAGAAGCCAGAACGGAGAACAGCAGGACCUCAAAACCUGUCCAAGAAAGUGUCCGAGACUUCCUACUUUGAAAGACAGCCCUGCUUUCUUUGAGUCCUGGACGCAGAGCAAAGGAUAAGAGGCUUUGUUUGUCCUGGGCCUCCAUCUCUUGCUCAGCAAACCAACGCCAAGAAGCGGACUGGGCACACUCACAGUGUGCAGUGCCCCUUCCUAAG